CAGGUAAAGCAGAUGUUCGCGGCUGGCAGGCCGAAAGGUGCCAGGUGAGGAAAGUCCGGGCUCCACAGGGCAGGACGCCGGAUAACGUCCGGCGGAGGCAACUCCAGGGACAGUGCAACAGAAAGAUACCGCGUCAGCAAUGAGCCGAGGAUACCCGGCAGUGCGUAGCAAUUUCAGGUAUACUGGGCUCAUUGCUGACGUAAGGGUGGAAAGGCAGUGUAAGAGACUACCGUCCGUCUGGUAACAGGCGGAGCCAUGUAAACCCCGUCCGGAGCAAGACCGAAACGAGACAUAACCCGGCCCGGGUGUCUCAGGUGGGUCGCUUGAGCCUGCCGGCGACGGCAGGACUAGAUAGAUGAACAUCCAAUGACAUAACCCGGCUUACCGCUUUGCCUGAAAA
rnacentral:RNase_P_RNA from 2 species